GAUGAACGCUGGCGGCGUGCCUAAUACAUGCAGGUAGAACGCUGAAGGAGGAGCUUGCUCUUCUGGAUGAGUUGCGAACGGGUGAGUAACGCGUAGGUAACCUGCCUGGUAGCGGGGGAUAACUAUUGGAAACGAUAGCUAAUACCGCAUGACAACAGUUAUUGCAUGAUAACUGUUUAAAAGGGGCAACUGCUCCACUACCAGAUGGACCUGCGUUGUAUUAGCUAGUUGGUGAGGUAACGGCUCACCAAGGCGACGAUACAUAGCCGACCUGAGAGGGUGAUCGGCCACACUGGGAAUGAGACACGGCCCAGACUCCUACGGGAGGCAGCAGGAGGGAAUCUUCGGCAAUGGACGGAAGUCUGAACGAGCAACGCCGCGGGAGUGAAGAAGGGUUUCGGAUCGUAAAGCUCUGUUGUAAGAGAAGAACGAGUGUGAGAGUGGAAAGUUCACACUGUGACGGUAUCUUACCAGAAAGGGACGGCUAACUACGUG
rnacentral:rRNA from 1 species